rnacentral:rRNA from 1 species
CCUACGGGGGGCAGCAGUCGAGAAUCAUUCACAAUGGGGGAAACCCUGAUGGUGCGACGCCGCGUGGGGGAAUGAAGGUCUUCGGAUUGUAAACCCCUGUCAUGUGGGAGCAAAUUAAAAAGAUAGUACCACAAGAGGAAGAGACGGCUAACUCUGUGCCAGCAGCCGCGGUAAUACAGAGGUCUCAAGCGUUGUUCGGAAUCACUGGGCGUAAAGCGUGCGUAGGCUGUUUCGUAAGUCGUGUGUGAAAGGCGCGGGCUCAACCCGCGGACGGCACAUGAUACUGCGAGACUAGAGUAAGGGAGGGGGAACCGGAAUUCUCGGUGUAGCAGUGAAAUGCGUAGAUAUCGAGAGGAACACUCGUGGCGAAGGCGGGUUCCUGGACAUUAAUUGACGCUGAGGCACGAAGGCCAGGGGAGCGAAAGGGAUUAGAUACCCCAGUAGUC